rnacentral:rRNA from 1 species
GACGAACGCUGGCGGCGUGCUUAACACAUGCAAGUGGAGCGACGAACCAGGGCUUGCCCUGGGGCAGAGCCGCGAACGGGUGAGUAACACGUGGGUUACCUGCCUCGAUGACCGGGACAACCCGAGGAAACUCGGGCUAAUACCGGAUGUGCCCGCAAGGGGAAAGGAAGCUCCGGCCUCCGCAUCGAGCUGGGCCCGCGGGCCAUUAGCUUGUUGGUGAGGGAACGGCUCACCAAGGCUUCGAUGGGUAGCUGGUCUGAGAGGACGAUCAGCCACACUGGGACUGAGACACGGCCCAGACUCCUACGGGAGGCAGCAGUGGGGAAUCUUGCGCAAUGCGCGAAAGCGUGACGCAGCAACGCCGCGUGGGGGAAGAAGGCUUUCGGGUUGUAAACCCCUUUCAGUUGGGACGAAGCUCUGUCGGUUAAUAGCCGGUCGGAGUGAGGGUACCUUCACAAGAAGCACCGGCUAACUACGUGCCAGCCGCCGCAGUAUAC